rnacentral:lncRNA from 1 species
UGUCUGUCUGUCUGUCUGUCUCUCUCUCUGUGUCUGUCUCUGUCUCUCUCUCUCUUUCUCUGUCUGUCUCUCUCUCUGUCACUUGCCAAAAGAAGUAAAGUAGAUAAUAAACAAAAGUGAAAUAAACAAUACAAAUUAACAGUAAACAUUACACUCAAAGAAGUUCCAAAAGAAUAAAGACAUUUCAGAUGUCAUAGUAUUUCUAUAUACAGUGUUGUAAUGAUGUGCAAAUAGUUAAAGUACAAAAGGGAAAAUAAAUAAAUAUGGGUUGUAUUUACAAUGGUGUUUGUUCUUCACUGGUUGACCUUUUCUUGUGGCAACAGGUCACACAUCUUGUUGCUGUGAUGACACACUGUGGUAUUUCACCCAGUAGAUAUGGGAGUUUAUCAAAAUUGGGUUUGCUUUCAAAUUCUUUGUGGAUCUGUGUAAUCUGAGGGAAAUAUGUGUCUCUAAUAUGGUCAUACAUUGGACAGGAGGUUAGGAAGUGCAGCUCAGUUUCCACCUCAUUUUGUGGGCAGUGUGCACAUAGCCUGUCUUCUCUUGAGAGCCAGGUCUGCCUACGGCAGCCUUUCUCAAUAGCAAGGCUAUGCUCACUGAGUCUGUACAUAGUCAAAGCUUUCCUUAAGUUUGGGUCAGUCACAGCAGUCAGGUAUUCUGACACUGUGUACUCUCUGUUUAGGGCCAAAUAGCAUUCUAGUUUGCUCAGUUUUUUUGUUGAUUCUUUCCAAUGUGUCAAGUAAUUAUCUUUUUGUUUUCUCGUGAUUUUGUUGGGUGUUCUCUCUCUCACACUCUCUCUCUCUCUGUCUCUCUCAUAGUUUAUGCGAGGGGGAGAAAGAGACUUAUCAGACCUGGCUGCUGUCACUUCGCCAUAUGUCUGUUUGGCUUAGAGCAACAACUGUGUGUGUGUUUGUCUAAGCCGAUAAACGUCUGCCUUCUUCAAAUCAACACACCUACAGUAUCAUGAAGAUGACAGAGGGGAAUGAGGGACACUCCUUCCUCACUAAAGAAGGAACCCCUCCACUCCUUCCUCACUAAAGAAAUAACCCUCCACUCCUUCCUCACUAAAGAAGGAACCCUCCACUCCUUCCUCACUAAAGAAGUAACCCUCCACUCCUUCCUCACUAAAGAAAUAACCCUCCACUCCUUCCUCACUAAAGAAGUAACCCUCCACUCCUUCCUCACUAAAGAAGUAACCCUCCACUCCUUCCUCACUAAAGAAGUAACCCUCCACUCCUUCCUCACUAAAGAAAUAACCCUCCACUCCUUCCUCACUAAAGAAGUAACCCUCCACUCCUUCCUCACUAAAGAAGUAACCCUCCACUCCUUCCUCACUAAAGAAGUAACCCUCCACUCCUUCCUCACUAAAGAAGGAACCCUCCACUCCUUCCUCACUAAAGAAGUAACCCUCCACUCCUUCCUCACUAAAGAAGGAACCCUCCACUCCUUCCUCACUAAAGAAGUAACCCUCCACUCCUUCCUCACUCCUUCCUCGCUAAAGAAGGAACCCUCCACUCCUUCCUCACUAAAGAAGUAACCCCUCCACUCCUUCCUCACUCCUUCCUCACUCCUUCCUCACUAAAGAAGGAACCCUCCACUCCUUCCUCACUAAAGAAGUAACCCUCCACUCCUUCCUCACUAAAGGGCCAAUCCUAACUACCUGUUAGUGCUACAAUUUCACUUCAUAUUGAUGUCAACAGGAGACUUGGUGAAAAUGUGUAUAAAUUAGGAUUCACCUCCAAGACUCCUUCACAAGCGGUCCAAACACUGCAUUAGAAUUGUACACAAUAUUCUAGACUGAAGGAGAAAAACAAUAUGAAACAAGCUCUCUGUCAUUCAGUGAAGGUUUUACUGUCAAAGGGAUUUCAGGAAGGGGCGAGGAAAGGAUGACAGAAAGGUUGUCUGUCAGUUUAAGCCCUGAAUGGGGAUACACAAUCACUCACAGAUAAGUGAAUUAGGUAAACAAAGUUUGUGUGUGUGUGUGUGUGUGUGUGUGUGUGUGUGUGUGUGUGUGUGUGUGUGUGUGUGUGUGGGGUGAUUGGCUGGCUGGUUGGGUCAAAUGGUGUUUCUCUGUAUAAUAGCUGGGGUAAUGUAGCACAACGUUGGACAUAGUGUGUGAUUGGCUGGCUGGCUGGCUGGAUCAGAUGGUGUUUCUCUGUAUAAUAGCUGGGGUAAUGUAGCACAACGUUGGACAUAGUGUGUGAUUGGCUGGCUGGCCGGCUGGAUCAGAUGGUGUUUCUCUGUAUAAUAGCUGGGGUAAUGUAGCACAACGUUGGACAUAGUGUGUGAUUGGCUGGCUGGCUGGAUCAGAUGGUGUUUCUCUGUAUAAUAGCUGGGGUAAUGUAGCACAACGUUGGACAUAGUGUGUGAUUGGCUGGCUGGCCGGCUGGAUCAGAUGGUGUUUCUCUGUAUAAUAGCUGGGGUAAUGUAGCACAACGUUGGACAUAGUGUGGCUGUUUCAAGUCAUAAUGCAUAGAUGCCACUGUUGAAUAGGUCUCGCUCUCUCUCUCUCUCUCUCUCUCUCUCUCUCUCUUUCUUUUCAGGCGUCAUUCUCCCUCCAUCUAACAUCUCUCCUUCCCUCUUUCUCUCAUAUUGCUUAAGCUCUAGUUUUCUCAAACAGAAUAGUGUUGAUGUGGAAGCAGGAGAGGGAGAGAACUGAUGAGAAACAGAAGGGAAAUAAACUGUGGAGGAAAAUAGAGGAAUGUGUAAGAAACCAUCGGUAGCCUUGUUGCUUUCUCCCCCCUACCCUCUCCUUUCUCCCCCCACCCUCUCCUCU